GAAGAUGGCAAAAUAGCUGGCAGCAUAGGACACUCCAACAGCAGGAAAAUCUGAUCUUCCUUGUUAUGUGGCUUUAUUUUAGGGAACUCCGUCCUCUGAAAACCGGAAUCAGCCCUGGAGAUUUGUACAUUUUCUUUGAAUCAGUGCCUCCUCCAAAGAGCACAUGCAUGCCAGCAUUUGAAAGCAAUUAUGAGAGACAUUUUAAGAGGAAAUCGGGGACAUGUUGUGGAAAUGAAGGAAGAUAUUUCUCAUUCUUCUUUACUUCGUGGGUUAUAUUGCACAGACAGAUCUCACAUAGAAUGAAAUUCACUCCUGAGCAGAAAGUCAGCACAAGAGACAAAGGCCUGGAUAAAUGCCUACCAGAGCGUGGUUAAAUGUAAAAAUUGGUUUGUUUACAACUCAUACCUGUUGCAUUGAAGAUUUCUAGCUCAACCUACCUAAUAAGACUUCUUCCAGUUGGAUUUUCAGUGAGGAAUAGUAAGCUAUGUUAGACUCUAAAGCUGAAGAUAAUUGUAAAGCCUUUCUGUGUCUUCAGAUUUACUGAGAAACUGCAAAACUGAAGUGCAAGUAUCAUCUCUUCUCCAGGAGAAGUUAAAGGGAAUUAGAUCAGCUAACUAGAGGAUGCAGUGCCAAGCUCCAUCAGCAUGCCAGGAUUCAGCCUGCUGUCACUGUCAGGUGCUUUCCAAGCCACUGGCUGCACCGGAGUCUGUUGGUGCUGCAAACCUUGUAAUUGAUGUGCUCCCAGCCAGGCCCUCUGGGAUCCAGAUGUGGUGAGGGUAAAACACAUCAGCCCUACAAAUCUGCCACAUGGGACAGAAACUUUCCAGACCUCAGACUUGACUGUCAGCCCUGUCCUUGCUGGCUUCACACCACAGGCUGCAAAAGCUGCACCCAGCAAGGGAAAGCCUUGGCUGUGACUAGGAACUAGAGCUACCUGUAAUUGCAGAGCUAGAUGAAGGGAGAGCCUUUGUGGCACAGGCCUGUGGCUACCAUCACUGGGGAAGCUGUUCUGGUAUUAACAGCAGUGGAAGAUUUUUACCAGUUGAGGUAAGUUCUAGAAAGCAGAUAAGAUUCAGGGAUAAAAAAGCAUCAGAAGGAGCACUUCACAGCUUUGGCUGCAUUCCCCCCAAAGCAGCACUGUCCAAGUUAGAGGCAGCCAUGUGGGGAAUCAUGGGCUUAUGAGCUCUUUGAUCUUCUUCCAUCGUGCUGAUACACCUCCUUUCUGUCAUCCCAGGCUGGGCUGGAAGGGCCAAGCAUGGUCCAGAUAACACCAUUUUAAAAAUAUCUCCAUUAGCUUCAGCAGUAAUAGCAUGUGAAUGAAGAAAUCAGUUUCCUGUGAUGAAGCGAAGAGCUUUUCUGGGAAGUCAGGGUGAGGAGGAAAUAACUUAAAUGAACCAAAUGAUCAGUCCUAAGAUAACAAGAAUUUCAGUCUAGAGCUUUUCCAUUUACUUUGUUAAUUUAUCCUCCUAUCCAACACAGAGACAGAUAAUUCAGCAAUGAGUCAUUAUUAGGCAUAACAAAGCCAAAUAUGUAUUUGCAGGCAAUUUUUAGGCAGUUAACGAUCAUUGGAAUACUGUUCUCCCAGCAGAUGCUCUCUCUAUUUCUGUGAUUUGCAGAAAUCUCAGUAGGCAAAAAAAAAAAAAAAAAAUUAAAAGCACUUAUGAGCAAAAUCCUUUCUAGGAAGACUGAAUAUUUUCUUUCUAUUAGUAUUGUUACUUUACUUCUAUUGGCUUUUCCAGGCAGAAGUGUUACUUUUAAAGAGUGAACUUGCUGAAAGACAGAACUAUGUACCUUUAAGAUAAACCACGGGGAAUUAGUAUCUAAUCAAGCAAUGGAUUGUUCGUGCACUGUUUGUCCAACCAUUGCAGGGACAACAUGUAACCUCUCAAGACAUUUCUUUCUUUUUUUUUUUUUUUCCUUUAAAAGAUUAUGAUUUCUUUCAGUAGUCAAGCCCAAACAUUUCAUGUGAUCAAAUUAAGAAAACGUAAGAUUCUUUGCAAUGGGGAGGAAAAAAGAAUUGCUACACUGACAAAUUGUUUUAAAGCUUUCUAGGGACUACACAAUAGCUCUGGGAUCCCUUGGGUAAAAAUGAAAUAGCUGCACCUUAGGAAUAUAAUGGAAAGAUAUUAUCAGCCGUGGUUUACAGGGGUUAGAAAGAGGAUCCAGCCAGACUUCCCACAGAAUAUGUGAAUAAUCUAUGAGAAAGUUUGAGCCCAUUAAGGAUAACUACACAGUAUAUGCUAAACCUUGAUAGAUGUUAUACCCUAUUGGAAGUCAUCUACUUUUCUUUUCGGAUAGCCUUUUAAUUUAUACUUUAAUAUAAUCUUUUAAAAAUAAUUCUGACUGUACUGCACUUCUGACACGCAGACCAUCAUUUUAAAUCCUUUUAUCAGCACAUGUAUCACUUUGUCUCAUACUAGUAAUAGGAUGGGAGUCAAGGAAUAUCUAUAAUUUCACCUCAUGCCUCUUAGCAAUAAUGGAUUUAUGUGUUGCAAUGAAAUACUCUAUAACUUGCUAUUCAUUGAAUGAUAGCAAAGUACUGAGGAAAUUUGCUCAGUGACUGUUUUGUGCAAAGACCAUAAACAGUCCUGGGAUCAAAGCAAGGGCUCCCAUGGCUCAUUGAACACCCAAACCUGUAGGCUGAAGUCCUGUUCCCUUUAGUGUUUUCUUUCUGCUCCAUGAACAGUGAAUGUCUGCUACAUGCCUGGGGCUGGACCACUCACCUGCAUGGAGAAAAUACAUGCUGCAGGGUGAAGAGGAUCCUAAGUAUGGCUACCAGUCUUUGCCAGGGGAAAAGUAUCCAGCAAUGUAUCUACUACAAUGCCAAAAACUAUUGUACAAUGGUUUGCAAUGUACGUUCCCCUGAGCCUGUUAAGGGAAAUUACUAGACUGCUUCAGUCAAACCUUUGCACCAGAACUAUAAGCAAGAGGUGAACACAUAAUCCACCCAAAGCAGUUUGGAAAUUAAAAGCUACCAAGAUCAGGGGUUUAUGAAAAGUUCAUCAAAACUUAGCUAUUGGCUAUACUAACUGUCCUAGCAGUGUUGUAUCUCAGUUCUCAUAGAUUCCAUCUAGAAGUUUUCCUCUAGAUUCUUAAAUCCAGUUGAUCAGACAAAAAGUCAGGUCUGUGCAAGACACUGAAUGUUCUCGGUAGAAAUUAGAAGUCAUGGGUUUGUGAUCAGCUCCAGGGUUUGAUCUUGUUUGAUAAUCAGAGUUUGAUCAAAGCUGAUUUUCUGUACUGGUGCUUGAGAAAGAACCUUUGCCCCAUGAUGAUGCUGAUGCAUCUGUGAAGAAAUUAACUGGUCAUGUACUGUUAGCUUGUCCUUAUUUCCAACUGACAAAAUGUAUUAAAAGACACUAAAAAUAUCUGACACACUUAGAACCUUGUUUCUUGGAGCUGAUUGCUGUAUUUUCUACAGGCCUAUUACACAAUUAUGAAUGAAGUAUAAGGUUUUCCUAUUUAGCCAAAGUAGGACAUGUGGAGGUCAGCAGAAAUAUGCUGGUAGUGGCUAAGUGGGAAAUGUAAUGAAUAAUUGCAUUCAAAAAUGACCCAUGAUGCCUACCAGAUGUGAAGGUAAGGGCAGAAAUCUCCACCAGGGAGUAUGGGAUGGUGUAUAGUGUAAAGAAGUCUGUUGAAAUCAGUCGAUGGACAGCGUGAUCUGGAGCUGUGUGCAUGCGUAAAAACAGGUACCAGCAAAAAGAAAGGAAAAUCUAGAAUCCAGCUAGCAAAGAUAACAGCAAUUGGUCAAUGAGAGCACCAGUAAACUACAGGAAGAAAGGUAAAUGGUGGCAGACAAAUACUCGUGUGCUAGUGUGAACUAAAAAGUACAUGGGCCAGUGCAAUGCAACUUUCUUCCCCCAGGGAACUUUAAUUUGAUUAGUCAGUUAUUAGCAGUGGAAGUAAAUGGAUUAAGGAAGUGGAUGGAAAUGCAGUGGUUUCUCUCAUUUUUAACAGUGAUUUCUUGCAAAAAGUUGUGGGUAUUUUUUUACUUGGAUAAGAAGAGGGCCUAGGCAGCUUCUCAGAUUUGAAGAAAACCAAAUAAAUUGUGCUUUUGCUUGCCAAGACAACAUUUAUUGAAGCUCUGUGUAAUGCAUGUCCUGCUGAAGCAAGAAGAUGCUUGGCAGAAGGAAGACAGAGCUGAGGAAUAGUUUCCUCCUGCAAGAAACUGGUAUCUCCCAGUCAAGCAGGGCCUAAACCAAUCAAGUAGUGUGAAACACAGAUACCAGUGUAUAAUUCUAAUCUUUGUACAGUAAUAAGAUUUUGUGAUUACUGCUUUGUAGGUUGCACUCUGGUCAAGCAAGAUAAGUACUGGCAAUUUCCCUGAGCCUGAAUUCAGUAAGAUAUCACAUGUCACUUUCAACAGUGCUCUCUGUGGGCUGUGUUGAGAUCAAAACCUGGACUAGAGUGUAUCAAACAGAUCACAUAGUUUGUUAGGUGAUGGUGCUGUUAGGAUGGCACAGUCUAUUUCAAUAUCAGGAAUAUUCAGGCUGAGGAGUUUAGUGAGUUUGCAGCUAUAAUUGCGGUGAGGUUUUGAACAAGUUGCAAGACCAGAUUUUUGCUGGGUUUAAAUUGUCACAGAGGAGUAAAGAUUCAUUCUCCUUAAAUAUGACAGAAAGGCUUAAGGUACAAGAUCUCUAGGAGGAAAUUGUGUUUGGAACAAAAAAAAAGACACCAAAAAACAGUAAAUAGGUCAAACCCAUGUGGGCAUGAUCCUGUGGUCAACAUCUCCAGUGCUGCUUGAAUGCCACUAAGCCUGAGGACUAUCUCCUUGUCAUAUACUCGGUGUGGUCAUGACAUAGAGCUGGAUUUGGUAUCAGACUUUUCUGAAUGCUCAAAGAACAAUGUUGAGUUUGAAUGACAACAUAUGAGUAGUCACUUUAAUCUGUUUACCCAGUUCUAUAUUAAACCUCUAG
ensembl:lncRNA